GGGCGAGCAGGUUUGAUCCCUGGUUGGGGAACUAAGAUCCAGCAUGCUCCAGGAUGUGGCCAAAAAAGAAGAAGAAGAAGAAAGGGGAAAAAAUGUCAUUUUAAAAAAAGUGAAGGAAUGUCAUCACAAUUCACAGGUUGCUCAUGCUGGUGACCCUAACUGUCUGUGAAAGGUAAGAAGUACUUCUGUGAAUGCCUGAUAUCAUUCGUUUAAUCGAAAAUGGAAGGCAAGGAAAGAGUCAUUUCUGUAGGAGGACAGUGUUUGAGGAUGCUUCCACCGGCCUGCUUACAAAAGGCACAUGUAACGUCUCUCUGACAGGUCUAGUCAUAACAGCUAAAGACAAUAUUUUGCAACUGCACUACCGGAAAACUGGAAAUUUGCCACGGAGGUGGGCAGACAUUUCCACAAGGUUAUUUUUCUUUCUCAACGUACAGAAAGCAUUUCCUGACAAAUACUAUUCUCCUACGUGAUGAAAGAAUCAGAGACGUGGAGCAGGACUGUGUGGGGGACACACACUUGUUAUCGUGACUUUACACAAAUCAAAAAACUUUUUCAGCCUCUCUAAGCCAAGCAGCUUUCAACUGCUCAUGUAUUAAACGCUUGUACAACCAGAAAUGCUGUCAUUGGGUUGUUGAGCUUUUCCACAUUCAUUCAAGAGUUAUGUAAUGUCCAAAACCCUCAUUGACUUCAGAGUAAAAAAAAAAAAAAAUGGUUGAUGAAAAUCUUAGGUAAAAAUGAAAUUGUAGACUACACGUAGUAUAAUUUGUUUAUUGUUGUUUAGGAGUAGCAAAGGUUUGGAAAUACAGAUUCUCAGACAGAUAGGUGUCAAUCAGGUGGAAAGACAAUAAGAUCAUGUGUACAUUUUACUUUCUGAUUAUUUGCAUGUUUUUGCUGCUUAAUAAUA